CAGAGUCGUAAAACACUCCCAAACCCAUGUGAACUUACCAUUGUUGCCUCGGCGGACCUACCCUGUAGCUUGCUACGCUGUAGACCGCCGGUGGACCAUUAAACUCUUGUUAUUCUAUGGAUAUCUGAGCGUCUUAUUUAAUAAGUUA
rnacentral:misc_RNA from 1 species